rnacentral:rRNA from 1 species
ACGGGGUGCAGCAGGCGCGAAACCUCCGCAAUGCACGCAAGUGCGACGGGGGGACCCCAAGUGCCACUCUUAACGGGGUGGCUUUUCAGGAGUGUAAAAAGCUCCUGGAAUAAGGGCUGGGCAAGACCGGUGCCAGCCGGCGCGGUAACACCGGCAGCUCGAGUGGUAGCCGCGUUUAUUGGGCCUAAAGCGUCCGUAGCCGGUCCGAUAAGUCUCUGGUGAAAGCCCACAGCUCAACUGUGGGAAUCGCUGGAGAUACUAUCGGACUUGAGGCCGGGAGAGGCUGGAGGUACUCCCAGGGUAGGGGUGAAAUCCUAUAAUCCUGGGAGGACCACCUGUGGCGAAGGCGUCCAGCUGGAACGGACCUGACGGUGAGGGACGAAAGCCAGGGGCGCGAACCGGAUUAGAUACCCGGGUAGUCCUGGCCGUAAACGAUGCGGACUUGGUGUUGGGAUGGCUUUGAGCUGUCCCAGUGCCGAAGGGAAGCUGUUAAGUCCGCCGCCUGGGAAGUACGGCCGCAAGGCUGAAACUUAAAGGAAUUGGCGGGGGAG